rnacentral:pre_miRNA from 1 species
UGUCAUGCUUUUCCACAGCUUUCUUGAACUUCUUCUUCUUCUUCUUGUUCUAGCUGGCUUCUUAUUUCUUGUUGUGUGCAUGGCAUUCUUAGAAGUUCAAGAAAGCUGUGGGAGAACAUGGCAA